UACCUCUACCUGGGCUCCGGGAGGUCUCCUGGGAGGAGGACUUCUGUUCUGGGGCUCAGAAAGGGCAUAGAGAGUUUCAGACCGAGACCAGGCUCUGAGAACAACAGAGCACAGGACAAGGGGGGAUGCUGGGAAAUGGCAGCUGGUCCAGAGGGACCUCAGGGAGGGGAUCAGGAAGGGGGUGACUAGACAAAGACGAGACUUUUGGUGGCAGGGGGAUGAUGGACGGGGCCUGUACGGCAUGCCCCGUGGGACCUUUACUCUGAUGUAGUGAAUUCUGAUUGGGACCCAAUAUUGUUGGGGCCGUGGAUUACUGGUCUACUGCUGCCUAACAAAUUUCCCCAAAACCCAGCAGGUUGGAACAGCGAAUAUUUAUUAUCUCACAUAGUUUUUGAGGGUCAGGAAUCUGGGACCGGCUAAGCUGGGUGGCUCUGACUCAGGUACUCUCAUGAGGUGUCAAUCAAGCUGGCGGCUGGGGCUGGAGUGUCCUCUGAAGGCUCGGCUGGAUCUGAAGGUCCUACUUCCGAGCUCACACACACGGUUGUGGGCAAGAGGCCUCCGUGACUGGGCCUGUGGGCCUCUCGUCAGCAGCCGGCCUCCCCCAGAGCAAGGGAUCCAAGAAGGUGAGAGAGAGUGGCUAAGAUGGAAGCCACUACAUCCUUGACAAUCCAGUCUCAGAAGUGACAUCCCUUCACUCUCGGUGUGUGACUCUGGUACAGUGUGGGAGGGGACUGCACAGGGCUGGGGGUUACGAGGGGUCCCACUGGAGGCUGACAGACACAGGCCACCUCCUGCUGAAUCUGAAAAGGGCAGGCAGCUCAGAAUUCAAAGUAUAGCUAAAAAUACUAACAUGUGUCCCUCACAUCCCUUCACACGUGGCAUGAGUGUGGUUCUCGCUGCCUCACUCAUCCUUCCAGCAGUCUGAGAGGUGGGCAUUGUCAUCACAUCCUUUAGACAGGCCCAGGGUGGUCCAGCGACUCUCCUAUUGGGGCAGCCCCAACCCUGCAUUGUUCUGGAUUCUCCACGGUAGCAGUGGAAUCCUUGGAGAUCCACACUCACCCCACUGGUGGGCAGGCUGUAAACCAGAAAGAUGGGUGUCCCGACUCUGUGUCUAUCCCAUCUUGGCAGUCGGGUCCCAGGAAGCGAUGACCUGCUGGAAGGUGGGAUGUGACACGCACUGAAGAUGUGAGCUUUGAGCUGAGAACCUCCCCGUGCAGCCCCGCAGCAGGCCCAUGUGCCACCAAAGUCGCCACUCAGGUGGGGUGGUAAAUCAUCGAAACUUUAAUGAAGAACCUUCUGAGGUGAAGGGUUCUUCUCCAGGGGUCAUGCAAAGAACACCGAGAGGAAACAGCAUGGAGAAAUAAGGAGAAAUGAGGACUGGAUCCCCUGCUGUGUCAAGAGCAUCUUUUGCAACUUGAUAUAUGCUAAACUUUGCAAUAUGGAUCAUUGUUGAGUUAAUGGGAGAAUUACAAUUCUCUAACUCUCCAUAACAGGUCUCAUUAAAUCUAAGCAGCAUUUGGUUCUUAGGAGCUCAGCAUUACAAAUCUAAUUAAGACUCCAUAAAAUAAAAUAAUUCAAGUCUGCAUUCAA